AUGCUCGCUUGGACAGUCUAUAUACUAAAAUUGGAAUGAUCCAGAGAAGAUUAGCAUGGCCCCUGUGCUAGGAUGACACACAAGUUCCUGAAGCGUCCUAUAUUUAA
rnacentral:snRNA from 1 species